AUGAAAGCCCGCCGGAGCGCUGCUCCUCGAUGCGCUCUCCCCGAUUCUUUGCGCUGCUCUCCGCGGCCCUCAGCCGCUUGCCCGACCCCGAACAGCCCCGGGAGGCGGCAGCCGGCGGGCAGAGACGGCCCCCUCUGCGCCCUGAGCACGCUCCCCAGAGCGGAGCUGCCCACAGCCCCCGGGCGCUGCCCACCCCGCAGUACGGAGGAGCGGGGGCGGCCGCGCCGUCGGGGAGAGGCAGCUGCGCGGCAGCCCCACGGCCGUCCGCGGGCCCGAGCCGGAGGCGUUGUCCCGUCAGGGGCGUGGGCGUGCGGGCCCACGGCCGUUAGCACCGGCGGGGCUAUUUCAAAGCCUUUAUGGAACGCUCCAGGCCGAUUCCCCCCUCUUCGGAGGGCCGGGGCAGCCCGGGGGAGCCGACACUCGGGAAAGGAACGCGGUGUCCGGCCGGAGCCGGCGGGGAGAGCGGGCAGGGAGCGCUCGGGGAGAUCGGCGUCGACGGCGGCCCCCUCUGGGAGCGGGGAAACACACGGGGCCGGGCGGCGCGGGCACAGGUGUGGAGCGGCCCCAGGUGCGGGGCCGGGUGGGCCGCGGAUACGGGCGGGGCAGGGCCCGAUCGGGCUUAGAGGGGUUCGCGCGGCGGCGGCUCCUCUGGCAGAGCGGAGCUUCGUGCUUCCCUGGGUCUGCUCCGCCCGCAGCCGGGCCCCCGUGCGUUCCCGGGGGCUGCCCUGCUCGCUCCCCCCCCAUCCCGUGCCGCUCCGGGGCCGCCCCCGCUGCUCAGCGCCGAUACAGCGGCUGGAACGGAGCCGUCGGGUGUGGAGGUUUUAUGGCUCGGAUGGACGAGGAGGAGUGGAUUCCCGGAAGAAAUGCUUGAAAAAACUUGCAAGCGAGACGUCCUUCUGCAUGGCAUGGAAAGGGUUUUCUGCACUGUGAGCACAUUCCCCCUGUAGCAGGUACGGUUGUGGCACAGACCAGAGCCCUGCAUGGCGUUUGUCUUAGGACGAUUGAAGCAAUGAGACGAAGUACUCUGGCAAAUCCAAGGCCUGCCCACCUCCUUCAUCUCGCAGAAAAACACAGGUAACAAAAUGAGUCUCUCGGUUAUUUUCAUGUUCUUUAAUUUCAAGUCCAUGCCUGAUUUAAAGAAGGGCAGCUACAGGGAAGGUGCGGAAAGCAGGUGCUGGCUGCGGCGUUUCUCAGUGCAUGGAGUCUGACCUCGUGCUGUUAGACCCGACUGGCCAGCAGCGGUUGCCUUGCAAUAAAAAGCAGUUGAGGUGUUGUGGGAAUGAAGCC
rnacentral:lncRNA from 1 species